CCUACGGGUGGCAGCAGUGGGGGAUAUUCCACAAUGAGGGAAACCCUGAUGCAGCGACGCAGCGUGUAGGAAGACGGUCCUCGGGAUUGUAAGUCACUGUCCCCAGGGACGAAAAUGACGGUACCUGGGGAGGAAGCCCCGGCGAACUACGUUCCAGCAGCGGCGGUAAAACAUAGGGAGCGAGCGGUGGCCGGAAUUACUGGGCGUAAAGGGAUCGUAGGCGGGGAUGUAAGUUGGGUGUAAAAACUACCGGCACAACUGGUAGUAGCACUGAAAACUGGAGCACUUGAGUGAAGUAGAGGUAGGCGGAAUUCCUAGUGAAGCGGUGAAAUGCGUAGAUAUUAGGAGGAACACCAGAGGCGAAGGCGGCCUGCUGGGCUUUUACUGACGCUGAGGCUCGAAAGUGUGGGGAGCAAACAGGAUUAGAUACCCUGGUAGUC
rnacentral:rRNA from 1 species